ensembl:lincRNA Dubr Dppa2 upstream binding RNA
GGACCGGCACGGUGCGCGCGUGCGUAGAGCUGUCAGCCGCACCCACGCCGCUCUUCUAGCAAAGUUGCAAAGCAACGGGCAGACCUGUCAGAACGGUGAAGAUCCCGGCGAUGGAAAAAAGGCGAAACUGCUCCGCGUAGGCUGCUCGGAGUGGCAUCGCACCUUGUUCGAGUCCGAAGAAGUUCCCGCUUCUCUAAGCCGGCUGAAGGGAUGCGAGUCUCCUCUUGUCCCAACGGGACUGCGUCCUGACACCGAGUGGACUCCGCCCCAAGAGUGCGAGCGUCCUGAGCGUUCAGGGCAUCCUGAGCCGCGGAAGGCAUCCGGCCACACCCCGCUCUUUACCCGCCAACGCCAGCCCAGGUGGCCAGGCUCAGAAUGGACUGUGAGCCUGUGUGUUAUGCAUCUCUGGUUGUAGAGACAAAAGGACAAAGAUGGAACCCACCAAGGAUGCUCCCGGCUGAAUGAAUUGUUGUUCUCUGGCUUACACAAAGUCAAGCGAAUGAUCGUCCCAUGUUAUGUAAUAUAGCAACGGCCUGCUUACCUUACUCCUUUAAUCUACGUUAUUCUGGAAAGUAACACUUGAAAUAAAAAGUAGAUACAUUCUACUGGGAAUGUGACCCUCAGAGAAGGAAAGAAAGACCGAGGGGUUGAACCUGAACACGUGAAAGAGAAUCCAAGACUUUCCCUAAGAGACUCUUUCCUGUUCUCGUGAUGCACUGAUGACAGAAAUCAUAUGACUAAUGGAGAGAAACUGGUAGAUAUACAACAAGAACUGCAUUGGGAUAACCGCCAUCUUACAAAGGUAUGCAUCCAGGCCUAUUCUGCCCUUGGACCACAUUGUACGUUUAGUGUUUCGGAAGAGAGAAAUCAUCAAAGGCACACCCAAAGAAACAUCCGAAUGAAAGCUCAGUGGCGUUUGCUUUUCCCAAGGACCGGCAUCAUGGUUUCAGAGUUAACACACUGGAGAAAUACCUAGCCCUCCAUGUCACUCCCUACAUCCUCAACACUCACUCAGAGAGGGGCAUUGAAGAAAGGAUCACCAGUGAGUAGUACUUCUCAAAGAGAAAGCAGAAGAGUUUAUUGCUGCUGAAAGUCUCUGAAUAAAUCCAUGCGCCAAAUCACAACCCGAAAAAGCUCCAGAAAGGAUGCACAUGGUCUAAAAAAUGGAGAGACUGGUGUCCUAUGCCCUGUCUUGUUACCCUGAGACAUGAUGUUGGGUAGAGUUGGUCUAGGUACAAUAUUAUUGAAUUUGCAGGUGCCUAAGUAUAGGGGUCUCACACUGCCAUAUACAGUCAUUAUAGUGUCGGGAGACAAGAAAAUCUUUUUUCGGUGCAGCUGAGAACAUUGGAAAAAUAAUUGCAAUGGCCUGCAGACCUUAGGGACUUUUUGGAGAAAUACAGUGUGACCUCUGAAAAUGCUUUAGAUUCUGUCAAAUAUCAAGAUGCAGAUCCAUAUCAGUGAUUACCAAAAAGGCCAGUAUUCAUUGUUCUUGAAGCUAGUCACAGAUAGACACCAAUCAAGAGUCAAAUGCUGUAUCCUCUAACCAUUUAGAGCUUGGAUGCAGCCCUGAGUAUAAAGGAAGUACUGUGGACCCCUUCACCACACAAAGGUCAUAUGUUCAAAUCUCACCCCUCCCAAAGGUGAUGAUAUUAGGGGGCUGGGACUUCCAGGAGUGAACAGAACAUAUUCCCUUAUUAAAAAGGCUCAAGGGAGCUCACUUACCCUUCUGUCAAGUGACAACAGACAGCUGCUGUGAGUAAUUAAGUGUGUUCUAGCCACAGACCCUGCCAGUGCCUUGAUCUUGAAUUUUCUAGCCUGCAGAAGUAUGAGAUGUUUCUGUUAUGUAUAAUUUACUCAAUAUAUAGUAGGUGUUCUGUUAGCUUAUUUUAAAAUGCAAUGCCUGUAUUUAUCUUGAAAAUAAAGGACUUUAGGAGUGUGUGUGUGUGUGUGUGUGUGUGUGUGUGUGUGUGUGUGUUCACAUACAUAGCAUAGACAAUAUGUAAGAACUGUGUUCAGUUAUGGAAAAAAUAAAGCCACUUUGCCAUACA